rnacentral:lncRNA from 1 species
AUGCUCCAAUGCGAAAUUCGGCACCGAGGACCAAGCCUUUCCCCGCUCCGACCGAGUUAUUUAAUCACCCCAGGAACACCUUGGAAGCUGCUGGGACUGCAGCUUUCAUCUUCCAGAAGCGCAAGAGCUGAAAAAAAGCGGAGUUCCCUCCCCAGGAGUGAGACCUGGGGUAUUCAAACACCGGCAAGGAGCUUCAGCUUGAUCUCGCCGCUCGGGGGAGCGGCCGCAAGCCCAGACGGCGGCAGAACGCGGCAGAUGCCGGCGGGCGCCCGCUGGAGCUCCGCUUUCAGCAGCAGCCGCCGCCGCCAAGCCACCUGCGCGGCCGCAGCCGGGGCUCCCGCCCAGCUCCGCCCGGUCCCGCAUCACGGCAGCCCGGCUCGGCCCGGCGACCGAAGCCACCCACGCCCGACCCCGCUUCACGCCCCCCGGCCGCGUCCUCCCGCCCGAGUUCGACCGAGCCGAGGCCGUCCCCCGGCCGCUGCCCGGGUCGGCGCCGCCGCUCGGACCGUCUCCGUGGCAACGACGAAACGCACCCUCCCCGCUCCCCCGACCGCCGGCAGCUCCGGCGAGGGCUCCGGCUGCCCGCCGCCUCGGCCCGGAGAGGCGCCGGCCGCCGGCUCACCUCGGGACGGGUGCCCGCAGCCCGCUCCGACAGCCGAGCCGCAGGGAAGAGCUCCCGCGCCGCAGAGCCGCCGGCCCAGCUGUGCGGCUGUGGCGGAGCGGGAGGAGCCGAGCAGCCUCCCCUCCUCUCCCCGCUCCGCCCAGUGCGCAGCGGCGGCCCCGGAGCCCCCGCAGAGCCCGUCGCGGCUGGGCCGCACCUGCCGGGGACGGGGAGGAGCCGCAGGGCGCCGCGGCCGGGCCCGUGCCCCGUUGGUGCUUCCGUCGGUGCCCCUGUCCCGGCGCUCGCUCCGCACUCCGUCCCGGCGCCCACCUCGGCUAGGGCCCGCCGAGGCCGUCCUGAGUGAGGGCGGCGGGGAGGAGGCCCGAGCCGGCCUGGGAAAUAACUCGCGAUCUGGAGCAGAGCCCUGA